rnacentral:tRNA from 1 species
GGGAAUGUGGCUUUGUGGUAGAGUGCUUGCUUGGGAUGCAUGAAGCCCUGGGUUCAAUUCCUCAGUACCU